GACAGAGGGGGCAAGCGUUGCUCGGAAUUACUGGGCGUAAAGGGCGCGUAGGCGGGAUGGCAAGUCGGUCGUGAAAUCCCUCGGCUCAACCGAGGAACGUCGAUCGAUACUGCUGUUCUUGAGGAUUGCAGAGGAGACUGGAAUUCCCGGUGUAGCGGUGAAAUGUGUAGAGAUCGGGAGGAACACCGGUGGCGAAGGCGGGUCUCUGGGCAAUUCCUGACGCUGAGGAGCGAAAGCGUGGGGAGCAAACGGG
rnacentral:rRNA from 1 species